GACGAACGCUGGCGGCACGCUUAACACAUGCAAGUCGAACGAGAGAAGAGAAGCUUGCUUUUCUGAUCUAGUGGCGGACGGGUGAGUAACACGUGAGCAAUCUGCCUUUCAGAGGGGGAUACCGAUUGGAAACGAUCGUUAAUACCGCAUAACAUAAUUGAACCGCAUGAUUUGAUUAUCAAAGAUUUAUCGCUGAAAGAUGAGCUCGCGUCUGAUUAGCUAGUUGGUAAGGUAACGGCUUACCAAGGCGACGAUCAGUAGCCGGACUGAGAGGUUGAUCGGCCACAUUGGGACUGAGACGCGGCCCAGACUCCUACGGGAGGCAGCAGUGGGGAAUAUUGCACAAUGGAGGAAACUCUGAUGCAGCGAUGCCGCGUGAGGGAAGAAGGUUUUAGGAUUGUAAACCUCUGUCUUCAGGGACGAAAAAUGACGGUACCUGAGGAGGAAGCUCCGGCUAACUACGUGCCAGCAGCCGCGGUAAUACGUAGGGAGCGAGCGUUGUCCGGAAUUACUGGGUGUCAAGGGAGCGUAGGCGGGAUCGCAAGUCAGAUGUGAAAACUAUGGGCUUAACCCAUAAACUGCAUUUGAAACUGUGGUUCUUGAGUGAAGUAGAGGUAAGCGGAAUUCCUAGUGUAGCGGUGAAAUGCGUAGAUAUUAGGAGGAACAUCAGUGGCGAAGGCGGCUUACUGGGCUUUAACUGACGCUGAGGCUCGAAAGCGUGGGGAGCAAACAGGAUUAGAUACCCUGGUAGUCCACGCCGUAAACGAUGAUUACUAGGUGUGGGGGGACUGACCCCUUCCGUGCCGCAGCAAACGCAAUAAGUAAUCCACCUGGGGAGUACGACCGCAAGGUUGAAACUCAAAGGAAUUGACGGGGGCCCGCACAAGCAGUGGAGUAUGUGGAUUAAUUCGAAGCGACGCGAAGAACCUUACCAGGUCUUGACAUCGUAUGCAUAGCUCAGAGAUGAGUGAAAUCUCUUCGGAGACAUAUAGACAGGUGGUGCAUGGUUGUCGUCAGCUCGUGUCGUGAGAUGUUGGGUUAAGUCCCGCAACGAGCGCAACCCUUACUGUUAGUUGCUACGCAAGAGCACUCUAGCAGGACUGCCGUUGACAAAACGGAGGAGGGUGGGGAUGACGUCGAAUCAUCAUGCCCCUUAUGACCUGGGCCUCACACGUACUACAAUGGCUGUCAACAGAGGGAAGCAAAGCCGCGAGGUGGAGCGAACCCCUAAAAGCAGUCUUAGUUCGGAUUGUAGGCUGCAACCCGCCUACAUGAAGUCGGAAUUGCUAGUAAUCGCAGAUCAGCAUGCUGCGGUGAAUACGUUCCCGGGCCU
rnacentral:rRNA from 1 species